rnacentral:rRNA from 1 species
UACGUAGGGGGCAAGCGUUGUCCGGAUUUAUUGGGCGUAAAGAGCUCGUAGGCGGUUUGUCGCGUCUGCUGUGAAAACUCGGGGCUUAACUCCGGGCCUGCAGUGGGUACGGGCAGACUAGAGUGCGGUAGGGGAGACUGGAAUUCCUGGUGUAGCGGUGAAAUGCGCAGAUAUCAGGAGGAACACCGGUGGCGAAGGCGGGUCUCUGGGCCGUAACUGACGCUGAGGAGCGAAAGCGUGGGGAGCGAACAGG